UACGUAGGGUUCAAGCGUUAAUCGGAAUUACUGGGCGUAAAGCGUGCGCAGGCGGUUGUGCAAGACAGAUGUGAAAUCCCCGGGCUUAACCUGGGAACUGCAUUUGUGACUGCACGGCUAGAGUGUGUCAGAGGGGGGUAGAAUUCCACGUGUAGCAGUGAAAUGCGUAGAUAUGUGGAGGAAUACCGAUGGCGAAGGCAGCCCCCUGGGAUAACACUGACGCUCAUGCACGAAAGCGUGGGGAGCAAACAGG
rnacentral:rRNA from 1 species